rnacentral:rRNA from 1 species
UACGAAGGGGGUUAGCGUUGUUCGGAAUUACUGGGCGUAAAGCGCGCGCAGGCGGUCUUCCAAGUCAGUGGUGAAAGCCUGGAGCUCAACUCCAGAACUGCCAUUGAAACUGUUAGACUUGAGUACGAGAGAGGUGAGUGGAAUUCCCAGUGUAGAGGUGAAAUUCGUAGAUAUUGGGAAGAACACCAGUGGCGAAGGCGGCUCACUGGCUCGUAACUGACGCUCAGGCGCGACAGCGUGGGGAUCAAACAGG